UAGCCUGGUGGUCAAGGCUAUGGAUCGCCAAUCCGGAGACAGCGGGUUCGAUUCCCGU
rnacentral:tRNA from 1 species